GACGAACGCUGGCGGCGUGCUUAACACAUGCAAGUCGAACGGAAAGGCCUGCUUUCCCUUGUGGAUUGCGGGUACUCGAGUGGCGAACGGGUGAGUAACACGUGAGUGAUCUGCCCCCAACUUGGGUAUAAGCCUGGGAAACUGGGUCUAAUUCCCGAUAGGACUGCAGGGUGGCGCCUGUGGUGGAAAACGAUUUUCUAGUGGUUGGGGAUGAGCUCGCGGCCUAUCAGCUUGUUGGUGGGGUAAUGGCCUACCAAGGCGGCGACGGGUAGCCGGCCUGAGAGGGUGGACGGCCACAUUGGGACUGAGAUACGGCCCAGACGCCUACGGGAGGCAGCAGUGGGGAAUAUUGCACAAUGGGCGGAAGCCUGAUGCAGCGACGCCGCGUGGGGGAUGACGGGCUUCGGGUUGUAAACUCCUUUCGACCGCGAGGAAGCCACCUGGUUGGAAGGGUGGUGACGGUAGUGGUAGAAGAAGCACCGGCUAACUACGUG
rnacentral:rRNA from 1 species